UAGGCGCCUCCUUCAGUCCCAUCUAG
rnacentral:piRNA from 1 species